rnacentral:misc_RNA from 1 species
GUUUUAGAAACAAGAGAUUUGAGUUGGCUGCUGAGUUGCUUGAGCGAGAGUUAAAAGUACACAUUGCACAUGCACGGAGGCGCAUGGCCAAGGCUUUGCAGAAAGACCUCUAUGGAGAUCGUGAUGUGCGCCCAAUUGAACAUUAUUUGGAUGCUUCUAUAAUCACGAAUGGUCUAUCGAGAGCAUUCUCAACUGGGGCAUGGUCACAUCCAUUCAAGAGGAUGGAAAGGAUAUCUGGUGUAGUGGCAAAUCUGGGGCGUGCAAAUCCAUUACAAACAAUGGUCGAUUUGCGGAAAACACGACAGCAGGUUCAGUACACAGGG